rnacentral:rRNA from 1 species
UACGUAGGGUGCGAGCGUUGUCCGGAAUUAUUGGGCGUAAAGAGCUCGUAGGCGGUGUGUCACGUCGUUCGUGAAAACCUGCAGCUUAACUGUGGGCGUGCGGUCGAUACGGGCAUCACUGGAGUUCGGCAGGGGAGACUGGAAUUCCUGGUGUAGCGGUGAAAUGCGCAGAUAUCAGGAAGAACACCCGUGGCGAAGGCGGUUCUCUGGGACGGUACUGACGCUGGAGACGCGAAAGCGUGGGGAGCGAACAGG